GGGGUAGCCGCGCACUAGAGGGGAGUCACGGCGUUCCUUUUUUUUAUUCCACUCCCCCCCCCUUUUGUGUUACCAGGGCGCAUGCGCGCGGGCUCCAUUGUAGAGGCGGUGACUGGUCCCGGGGAGUGUUGACAGCUCGGGCGGAAGCGGGAGCUCCCUUCGCCUCCUACUCCGAGUUGGCCGCGGGGAGACGCCAAGCUGGUGCAAAAUAAAACAAAAACCCUCCCCUCUUCCCUCCCUCUCCCCCAAUUCUCGUUGCAUGAACUUGGCUAAGAACAGGAAGGGAGAAGAGGCUUUGGAUGGUCUGUGCAUAGGCUUGCAGGAAAUUCAGUGUAAAUGCCCGGAGCGCACUCUGCUCUUUCCCCCAGAUACCUCUGAACUUGUUUGUGGGAUCGGGUAGAACAGUGGUUCUCAAACUGUGGCUCGGACCCCUUUGGGGGUCGAACGACCCUUUCACAGGAGUAGCCUAAGACUCUCUGCAUCAGUAUUCUCCAUCUGUAAAAUGGAUAAAUGUUAGGGUUGGGGGUCACCACAACAUGAGGAACUGUAUUAAAGGGUUGCGGCAUUAGGAAAGUUGAGAACCAUUCUGGCUUAACAACACAACCUUGUGCAGGUUUAUUAGUGAAGCUGGUGUUGUCCAUGGUGGGGUUUGGCCCUGAUGCUCAGGAUCGCAGCCCUGUUCUUGAUGGUUCGAUUCCACGAUUUGGUCAGCGGAUGCUUAUUCUUGUUGGCAACCUCCUACCCCCCACCCCCCGGCAUGAAAUGACGAAAAUAAAGAGGCAAAGCAGAAAAGGAGUGAGGUGGGGGACAUGAAAAAAUGGUGGACCAGGCGCUGAGGGGAACUUGGGCGACAGCGCUGAGGCAGGAAAAACGGCCAGGCUUUUUGAA